UAGAUCUCGAAUCCGAGCCCAUUUCAAGCAGAUCUGAAGCAGAAAAUCCCACUUGGCCCGUUUUCUCUCUUCCCCGACUUCUUUUCGUUACCUCGCAGGCCCGCACCCACUCGCCGUCGCAGCGGCAGCCCCCACGUCUCCCGCCCCACCCCCCUAAAAAUGACCUCGACCGCAGCGGCGGCGGCGGCAGCGGCGACAGGCUAUGCGUCCGAAGCUCCGUCCGGCCUGCGUUUACCGGCGAGCUGGCCCGCUCGUGUGCUGCCCUCGUCGAGAAAUUGAGGGAUCGUGAUGGAGCCCAAAGGCAGUCAUUCUAAAAUCUAGAGAGGACACUAUCAGCGUCAGGCAAUGACUGAGACAUUUCUGGUCUGGUAUUACAAGUUACAACUCAUAAUGCUUACGUCCUUGAGAUCAAUAAUCACCUUCAGGAGGAACCCUAGAGUGUUUCUGCAAAUUCAGGAAAUAGCCGUAGCAGAAAAUCAGCUGGAGUCCGGCCAAGAAGUAGGCGAGCGGCUCCAUGAUACUCCAAGAGAACUCCCAGAACGUAAGGUGGAAGAAGAGGGCAAACUGGAGUAUGAAUGAUGCGAAGCCAAAACAUAGAAUCCGCACGGCGUGCCUGUGCGCCAUGCCGUUGAUCUCUUGCAUCCUCGUCUGAAGUUGUCUGAAUUCGUCUUUUC